AAAAUAACAAAAGUAUAGGAACUGGAGGGGAGGGUGUAGCUCAGUGGUAGCGCAGAAUGCUUAACAUGCAUGGGGUCCUCGGUUCGAUCCCCAGCACCUCCGU